AAAAAAAAAAGUAGGGACUUCUCUUCCCGGUUCUGCCCUAAGUUGAGAAAAGCUGGUUGAGAGGAUGGAAAAACAUUACUG
rnacentral:pre_miRNA from 13 species